rfam:Treponema lecithinolyticum ATCC 700332 genomic scaffold Scaffold48, whole genome shotgun sequence.
UGGACCGUCGGCAAGUGGUAAGCCACCGGUUUUUGGUACCGGUAUUCCGCUGGUUCGAAUCCAGCCGGUCCAG